UUGACGCUGGCGGCAGGCCUAACACAUGCAAGUCGAACGGUAACAGGAAGCAGCUUGCUGCUUCGCUGACGAGUGGCGGACGGGUGAGUAAUGUCUGGGAAGCUGCCUGAUGGAGGGGGAUAACUACUGGAAACGGUAGCUAAUACCGCAUAAUGUCGCAAGACCAAAGAGGGGGACCUUCGGGCCUCUUGCCAUCGGAUGUGCCCAGAUGGGAUUAGCUUGUUGGUGGGGUAACGGCUCACCAAGGCGACGAUCCCUAGCUGGUCUGAGAGGAUGACCAGCCACACUGGAACUGAGACACGGUCCAGACUCCUACGGGAGGCAGCAGUGGGGAAUAUUGCACAAUGGGCGCAAGCCUGAUGCAGCCAUGCCGCGUGUAUGAAGAAGGCCUUCGGGUUGUAAAGUACUUUCAGCGGGGAGGAAGGGAGUAAAGUUAAUACCUUUGCUCAUUGACGUUACCCGCAGAAGAAGCACCGGCUAACUCCGUGCCAGCAGCCGCGGUAAUACGGAGGGUGCAAGCGUUAAUCGGAAUUACUGGGCGUAAAGCGCACGCAGGCGGUUUGUUAAGUCAGAUGUGAAAUCCCCGGGCUCAACCUGGGAACUGCAUCUGAUACUGGCAAGCUUGAGUCUCGUAGAGG
rnacentral:rRNA from 1 species